CUCGCUCUGUCACCCAAGCUGGAGUGCAGUGGCGCGAUCUCGGCUCACUGCAAGCUCCGCCUCCCGGGUUCACGCCAUUCUCCUGCCUCAGCCUCUCCGAGUAGCUGGGACUACAGGCGCCCGCCACCGCGCCCGGCUAGUUUUUUGUAUUUUUAGUAGAGACGGGGUUUCACCGUGGUCUCGAUCUCCUGACCUCGUGAUCCGCCCGCCUCGGCCUCCCAAAGUGCUGGGAUUACAAGCGUGAGCCACCGCCCCCCACCAAACGAAGGGUUUUUUAAGUUCCAUGAGAACUACGGUGUGCAAGACUGGUCAAAACAGUACAAUGCAAGUGGCAAGAAUCAGGAAGUGCACAGAAACAAGAAGCUUGGUCCACACUGGGAUCAGGCAAGCAUCUGGGAGAAGAUUGUAGCAAGACUGGAUCCUGAGAUGAGGAAACUGAAGCCCAGAGAGAUGAAAUGAUUUUCCAUGUUAAUACAGAGACAGAUGUGCCUGACAUGUGGCCCGAUCCCAGAAGAAGAGUUUAGCACAGAAGACCACAUGAACCAUCCCAAAAGGCCUGUUGCUUCUAGGCUCAGGAAUCCAGGGACCCCCUCCUAUUAUGUGAGCUUCCUGGAGAUUAUUACAUCGCAAGGCAAUGCACCGCUCCAACAGGGAUGACGAAGUGAAUGGGAAGGAAAAGGUUAUAAAGAGUUCAUGGAAGGCACCUAGGCACACUACUUUUAGGAAAGAGUGGAUGUGGAAGCUGAGUAUCUGGAAAUUGAUUUCCUUAAAACAGUUUGUGUUUGCAUGUCUUCUGAAAAGUUUUAUGUACUCCCAAGUGUAAGUAUACUUGUUCGAAGAAGCUGCUCAAUAUAGUUCUUAAAAUAGUCUACAGACAUUUUACCCCAGCAUAGUAAGAAAUAGGAGUACAGCCAGAAAUGAGAGUGGGAAUGAUUAGAGAGACUUCUUUGAGGCCUUGGUGGUGGGUAGGAGCACAGUGGGCGGGGCUCUUUUUAGAUGUGCUUUAAUCAUCAGGAAUUCUGAUACAAUUAUAUGUUGACUAUGAUACAUAAGCUUCAUUUGAUUACUGUUGCCAAAUAUUUUUUGCUCUUCACAAAGUAAACCUCUUUUUAAAACUUUUUAACUGGCAAAUAAUAAUUGCAUCUAUUUAGGGGGUACAUUGUGAUGUUUUGAUACAUGUUUACAUUGUGGAAUGAUUUAAUCUAGCUAUUUAAAUGUAGUGAAAAUAACUUAAGCUAUUAAUCUCAGCCUUGGUGGCUUCUCCUAGUUUAUGCUUACACAGGAGGCCGUAUUCAUUGUGAAAUGCCACAGACUCUCACAAACAAGAGAAGAAAAUGUAGAGAAGCCCCUCAAACAAAAUGCACUAGGUUAAUUAAUACUGCCAAAUGUGACCCACUUAAAAUUGUUCCUAACAUCAGUUCAUGAUUUAUUUCAAAAGUUCUUAAUAUUCGAAAAUGCUCAAUAAUUUAAAUUAUUUCAAUGUAUAUAGCAAAUAAACCCUGCUAUUAAAACAAAAGAAUCAGGUUCAUUUCAGAAGAGUGAAAACUAGCAAGAUCUUACUGUAAAUCAACUGUUUGUUUUCAAUUAUUUGGCAUGAGAUCUUACAUAUUUUUAACCCAUGUUUUAAUUCUCUUAGAUACCCUGUUGCAAAAGUUCUGAAACAGGGUGAGAAAAAGUGUUCUUGUAGCACGUUGGCAAUGGGAGCCUCACUUCACUCUGUUAUGUGAUGUCCCGCCCAGUUUUUAGUUAAACCUGGAAACACCUUUGUCCUUAGGUGAAGCGGCAAGUCUUGCUUAAGCAAAGCUGGUGAAAUCAGAGCCUCGUCCAAGGCUCAGAAGUGUUUGUGGGGAAAAGGAAACACCUUUUGUGGGAGAAGGAAACAAGGGAGAAGAGAGGAGGAGGAAGAAAUUGAAAAAGAAGGGGAGGAGAAGAGGAAAAGAAAAAGAGAUGUUGAGAGAAAGAAAAACAGAGAGCUGUGUGUGAUUGGAUGCCAUGACUCCUCAGUCUUAGUGCUAAUGCCGUUGUUACCUAACUCUAUUUAGGGAACUUGCCAGAACACAGAGAAGCUUUGUGGGCCCGGCUUUCAGAACUUACGCAACAAUCGUUUUGGGAGCAGACUGAAAAUUUUACAAGAGAACUAAGUUCUCAAGAGACUGACAGUGUGACCAAAAGAUCAAAGGAGGAAACACAGAUAAAUUAAAUACUGGUUAGCAAUCUUUAAUAACCAGGAGAUGCUUAAUAUUUAUUUUGAAAUCUGCAACAUUUUAUAAAUCAUUGUUUUGGCUGGUGGGACAAACUCAGAAUCUGGAACCCACAGAAACCCUUCAAUUACACCAAGGCUUUCCAGUUCAUUGCUACUGCACUGAAGAACAGUCUUCACAACUAUACCUGGAACUUAUUAGGCCAGGAAGGCAAGGCGUUGAGUGUUUCAACUGAAUAUUGCAACUGACGACAACCACUCUGCAUUGAUCACCUAUGGAAUGAUCAACUUUUAACCCUUUGAAGUUUCCUAAAUGAAAGAGGCACUCUGAAUUCAAAGGCUGUUUGAAUGAACUGACUGCUUCAGCACUGCCUUGUAGAUAUUGUCCAUUCAAAUAAAAGACAAUAAAUAUCUGACUGAAUUUUGUUAGCACGUUAAGACAUUUAUUAUAAAAAGAUUUAGGAAGAAAAUAAUGGCCACAAUUCUUCAGAAUACAUGCGUACGAAUGUGGCAAAGCACUGUGGUGUUGCAAACUCAAGUGCUGCUCUGGCCAAGUCACCUCGCUGAAAUCUCCACUUCCACUUGUGCACCCUGCCAAGCCACUCUCUACACAGCUGCCAGAGUGAUUACAAAAACAACACGGGAUUAUGCUACCCCUGCUUAUCUAAAAUUUGUCAAAAUGCCCAUUACACUUUGAAUAAAAUACAGAUUCCUCUCAGAUUUCAUUUCUUAUCAUGUCUUUCUCAAUCAUUAUGUUCCAGCCUCACUGACCUUCUUUCUGUUCCUGUAAAAUAUUCCUGCCUCAAGGCCGCAGGCCUACGACCUGCAGUUCUCUUUUUCCCACAUGUGACCAGGCUCUCUCUUAGCCAUCAGGGCUCAUAUAAGCUCUUUCCGU